rnacentral:rRNA from 1 species
AGUGAACGCUGGCGGUAGGCCUAACACAUGCCAGUCGAACGGCAGCACAGUAAGAGCUUGCUCUUACGGGUGGCGAGUGGCGGACGGGUGAGGAAUACAUCGGAAUCUACUUUUUCGUGGGGGAUAACGUAGGGAAACUUACGCUAAUACCGCAUACGACCUACGGGUGAAAGCAGGGGAUCUUCGGACCUUGCGCGAUUGAAUGAGCCGAUGUCGGAUUAGCUAGUUGGCGGGGUAAAGGCCCACCAAGGCGACGAUCCGUAGCUGGUCUGAGAGGAUGAUCAGCCACACUGGAACUGAGACACGGUACAGACUCCUACGGGAGGCAGCAGUGGGGAAUAUUGGACAAUGGGGGCAAGCCUGAUCCAGCCAUACCGCGUGGGUGAAGAAGGCCUUCGGGUUGUAAAGCCCUUUUGUUGGGAAAGAAAAGCAGCAGGUUAAUACCCCGCUGUUCUGACGGUACCCAAAGAAUAAGCACCGGCUAACUUCGUG